AAACCGUUGAAAGGGAAGCGAAUGGAGUUAGCAAUUCGCCCUGCCAGAUUCAGUUGUUCKCACUUCGCGACGUGCACGCUCUCGAUCCGCAUGGACGAGACGUGCMCGGACGCGACGUGUGGACGGCGCACUUCUGGCGGGYGAGCGUCAGCGUCGCUCGUCGACGGGCGACAAGGUCGCGAGGAAGGUAGACGUGCCUUCGGGCGCGUUGUUAAGACUCGCGUUCGCAUGGCUCGACGACGACCGUGGCUCCUUCAUGCGGAGGCGACGCGUGCCUGGCUGGCGACUCGUGCGAUCGGUCCGGCAUGUCGACCGUGGCGGACGGCACGCCUGUGCGCUCAAACUGCUGCCGGUCGCUCSCACGAUGUUCGCACACUACGCGUCGAAGACGCUGACGACCAUACGGCUCCAUCCGACCCGUCUUGAAACACGGACCAAGGAGUCUAACAUGUGCGCGAGUCUCCGGGUGAUCGAAACCCGUGGGCGCAAUGAAAGUAAAGGCCGUYCCAGAYGGCUGAGGUGAGAAGCGCGCCUCUUCUYGACGCGCGCCGCAUCAUCGACCGACCUAUUCUGCUCUCAGAGAGGUUUGAGUAAGAGCGUAUCUGUUGGGACCCGAAA
rnacentral:rRNA from 1 species